GGAGAAUUGCAUUUUCACCUUGAAUAUUAUUAUUAUUAUCUUUUGACACUUUAUUCAAGGUAUAAUAUUCCAAGGGGACAAAACACUAUUCAAGUUUGAAUUUAUACAAAGAUAAGAUUCUCCAACAAAGAUAAGAUUCUCCAACAAGGGGACAAAACACUAUCCAAGGAAAACACUAUUCAAAGACAAAGCUUGGAUUUAUGUGAGAAAUCAAGGAGCCAUCCAUUGAAGAUCCAAGGAUGGACAUUGAGUGGCCAAGGCUAUAAAUAGAAGGG
rnacentral:lncRNA from 1 species